rnacentral:rRNA from 1 species
GGGAUAACACUGACGUUCAUGCCNGAAAGCGUGGGUAGCAAACAGGAUUAGAUACCNUGGUAGUCCACGCCCUAAACGAUGUCGAUUAGCUGUUGGGCAGCAUGACUGCUUAGUAGCGAAGCUAACGCGUGAAAUCGACCGCNUGGGGAGUACGGUCGCAAGAUUAAAACUCAAAGGAAUUGACGGGGACCCGCACAAGCGGUGGAUGAUGUGGAUUAAUUCGAUGCAACGCGAAGAACCUUACCUGGUCUUGACAUGUACGGAACCCUCCAGAGACGGAGGGGUGCCUUCGGGAGCCGUAACACAGGUGCUGCAUGGCUGUCGUCAGCUCGUGUCGUGAGAUGUUGGGUUAANNNNNNNNNCGAGCGCAACCCUUGUCAUUAGUUGCCAUCAUUAAGUUGGGCACUCUAAUGAGACUGCCGGUGACAAGCCGGAGGAAGGUGGGGAUGACGUCAAGUCCUCAUGGCCCUUAUGACCAGGGCUUCACACGUCAUACAAUGGUCGGUACAGAGGGUAGCCAAGCCGCGAGGUGGAGCCAAUCUCACAAAACCGAUCGUAGUCCGGAUUGCACUCUGCAACUCGAGUGCAUGAAGUCGGAAUCGCUAGUAAUCGCAGGUCAGCAUACUGCGGUGAAUACGUUCCCGGGUCU